GGGUAGAAGAGCGGCAAACGGGAUCUAUAACAAGGUAACCGUCGCGCCAACAAAUGACCAAUGGGAAGCUGCUUCUGCCGGCGACUGCAAACAAACAAUAAUAAUGAAUCAAGAGAAAUCAUGUUCUUAAUUUACAAGGAUACAACCCAUAUGGUAUUUUAAUGAAUGGACUGCUUGUAUUACUUUAUAUCGAUUGAAAUAGAAUAUACUAAUAAGA